rnacentral:rRNA from 1 species
UACGGAGGAUGCGAGCGUUAUCCGGAUUUAUUAGGUUUAAAAGGUGCGUAGGCGGACGCUUAAGUCAGCGGUAAAAUUGCGGGGCUCAACCUCGUCGAGCCGUUGAAACUGGGUGCCUUGAGUGGGCGAGAAGUACGCGGAAUGCGUGGUGUAGCGGUGAAAUGCAUAGAUAUCACGCAGAACUCCGAUUGCGAAGGCAGCGUACCGGCGCCCAACUGACGCUGAAGCACGAAGGCGUGGGUAUCGAACAGG